rnacentral:rRNA from 1 species
AUUGAACGCUGGCGGCAUGCCUUACACAUGCAAGUCGAACGACGCCAGGGGGCAACUCCUGGCGAGUGGCGAACGGGUGAGCAAUGCAUCGGAACGUGUCCUCUUGUGGGGGAUAACCAGUCGAAAGACUGGCUAAUACCGCAUGAGAUCGCGAGAUGAAAGCGGGGGAUCCGCAAGGACCUCGCGCGAGAGGAGCGGCCGAUGUCCGAUUAGCUAGUUGGCGAGGUAACGGCUCACCAAGGCGACGAUCGGUAGCUGGUCUGAGAGGACGACCAGCCACACUGGGACUGAGACACGGCCCAGACUCCUACGGGAGGCAGCAGUGGGGAAUUUUGGACAAUGGGCGCAAGCCUGAUCCAGCCAUGCCGCGUGUGUGAAGAAGGCCUUCGGGUUGUAAAGCACUUUCGGACGGAACGAAAUCGCGCGGGUGAACAAUCCGCGUGGAUGACGGUACCGUAAGAAGAAGCACCGGCUAACUACGUGCCAGCAGCCGCAGUAAUAC